rnacentral:rRNA from 1 species
UACGUAGGGGGCAAGCGUUGGUCCGGAAUCAUUGGGCGUAAAGAGCGUGUAGGCGGCCAGGUAGGUCUGCUGUGAAAACUCGAGGCUUAACCUCGAGCUGUCGGCGGAAACCAUCUGGCUAGAGUCCGGAAGAGGAGAAUGGAAUUCCCGGUGUAGCGGUGAAAUGCGCAGAUAUCGGGAAGAACACCCGUGGCUAAGGCGGCUCUCUAGUACGGUACUGACGCUGAGACGCGAAAGCGUGGGGAGCGAAACAGG